CUCUGGGCUGUAGGGACAGAGCAGACAUGCUAUAAGCAGCGUAAGCCAGGUGUGAUCAUAAAUCAUCAGAUCAUGCCUAGAACUACUUAUCUGAACUCCACAUGUGUCAGACUGGAACCACCUGGGUAUGUUCUCAGCAAUAUCAGGAGUUCUCUAGAUGCUUCAGCAAGAGAUAAGGAUCCACAGAUGCAAGAACAGAUGGCUUCAGAGCACUGAGAGCAGAGCCAGAUUCCUUCCCAGCGCUGUGAAUUCCCCAAUAUACUUGAAAGCAAAAGUGGAGCUACAGCCCUUCUGAGCUGGGCUGCGUGGUGAACGCUUGAAGCCUCUCCUUAUGUGACGUAUGCUGGAUCCACCUUAGAACACAGAACUGUCCUCCAAGCCUACUGUACACCUUGAAGGUAGGUGGCUUAGUAGUGCUUUAGCUGGCUGUUACUACCACACUUAGUAACUGUGGUGUGCCAAGAACUGCUUCACCCUUCCACGGAAGUCAGAGGUGAAAACUAUUUACUCAUUUCAUCUGGCCCAUGCAAGUUCUGCUGUAUGCACCGUCUAGCUGUAGAUACUCUGCGGUUGAAGCAUCUUCCUGCCAUUUAUUAUUAGCUUUUCAUUUUUAAAUGUUGUUGUACCUACUCUUGGGUCACAGCCUUAUGACCAAAUUAUACCUCUGCAUGCAUGCGUCGGGUUCUUACUCUUAAUGGGAACCAUGUGGCUGCAGCUGAAACAGGAGACACAUGGGACCAUGGUCUUGUGUGUGUGUAUAUACAAUAGUGAAGACAAGAGCCUCAGCUGAUGUAAAUAAGUAUGGGUUUUUUUACUUCAAUGGAGCAGCACCACUUUACAUAAGCUGGAGAGGUAGGUGGCCCCGCCUCUUGACGAAACAGCAGUUUAAAAAAAAAAAAAGGUUAGUUAAACAUUCUUAAAAGCCGGGGAGAACUUGUACAAGACAGUGUUUUAUUUGUUUCAUAAUCAGGUAAAAUUAUAUUAAUGUAAAACAGGUAAACAGACAAAAAUAAAACACACAGCACAGAACACUAUGCUAUAGAAUAUAGACAUGGAGAAGUGCAAACCCCUCCCCCGUGCCCCUUUCCCCCCACCCCCAACAAUCUGCUUUAAAAGUAACUAUACAAGAUUAACUGUCUUAGAAAUUGGGAAAAUAAAAAUACUGCUUUUUCUUAAACCGAGGUGGGAGGGGGGAAUCCAUAGAAACAAUUUUCACUCCAAUAUCAAAAAAGCAGGAUUUUCAGUGAACACAAAAUUCUAUAAAAUUACCAUUGAUUCGUGUUAAUUUUUUUCAGAUUUUUUAAAGUUGCUUUAAAAAGGAUAAAAAGUGCACAGACACCCUUAUAAGGCACAAACAGAUCUUCUGUACAAAUCAUAUCAGACUAAAAAAUAUAUAUAGCAAUACAAGUACAAACAAUUAAAUUCCUAUGAGGACACCUUUUUCCUGGGAAAUCUUAGAGGCCUCUCUGGAUCUCCGUUGGAAAAUCCUCAACCAACUGGAAUAGGUAGGGAGACACGUCCACUAACGCUCAUUUCACAAUCCACGGCACAGCCACACUGUGGACAUUAAACUAGCUUAAUUACCCUGAAUGAACGAGCCCUCGUAGUCUCUGCUGGAUGCUGCUGUUUUGGAAAUCGGUUUGCAGCUGCUAUUCUGGGAAUUUAAACCUGUGCAACAUUUGCUCUUCCCAGCUCUCUCCCCUGCAUUGACCCAUCAUCUGAAAAA